rnacentral:rRNA from 1 species
GACGAACGCUGGCGGCGUGCUUAACACAUGCAAGUCGAACGAAGAGCGAUGGAAGCUUGCUUCUAUCAAUCUUAGUGGCGAACGGGUGAGUAACGCGUAAUCAACCUGCCCUUCAGAGGGGGACAACAGUUGGAAACGACUGCUAAUACCGCAUACGGUCCAAUCUCGGCAUCGAGGAUGGAUGAAAGGUGGCCUCUAUUUAUAAGCUAUCACUGAAGGAGGGGAUUGCGUCUGAUUAGCUAGUUGGAGGGGUAACGGCCCACCAAGGCGAUGAUCAGUAGCCGGUCUGAGAGGAUGAACGGCCACAUUGGGACUGAGACACGGCCCAGACUCCUACGGGAGGCAGCAGUGGGGAAUCUUCCGCAAUGGACGAAAGUCUGACGGAGCAACGCCGCGUGAGUGAGGACGGCCUUCGGGUUGUAAAGCUCUGUUAAUCGGGACGAAAGGUCCUCUUGCGAAUAGUUAGAGGAAUUGACGGUACCGGAAUAGAAAGCCACGGCUAACUACGUG